rnacentral:lncRNA from 1 species
CAGCGGAACAACGACGACGAUGGUGAACUCCACUCCGCAGGGACUCUGGCUGGAACGCUUAUCCUAGCUCGCAAACAAAGAAUCCACGGCAAACAAGCAUGCAAUCCAGGCACGACCUGCAAGCUGGCAUGACACGCCAGGUCAGUACAUUGAAUGUACUUGCAAGCUCACAAUAACCAGAAGCAUUCAAGACAAACAUCAGCAUGGCAAUUACAGGUUAAGCAGGAAUUAUCAUGAGAUCAUCAGAAUAACAUGGCAUGAACAAUAUGGACAUGAUACAGGUAGAACAACAUGAGCAUGGCAUGAACAUAUAGAUCUGACGAUACUAGCAUGCAACAUGAUGACACUAUAUGCACUAUUUAUUCUGCUCGGGUUACUUCGUAACCAUCACAUGCAUCACUUACCAUCCUCGGACAUCACACGAUCAUCUCAGGAUCAAAUCAAGCUUGGUAUAAACAAUACCGUAGUAAUUAUAAAAUGACCACAAGGAGCUUGAUCUUUACCCACGAUUCUCGCACAAUAUCACGAAUAUCCAACAACUCGGUAUCCUCGAUACCACGGUGAUCAUUCUGGCGAUCACAACCAUGACCAACACUUGGUCCCAAACGGUGAUCAUUCCGGCGAUGACAACCAACUUAUCUCAUCAUCGAACCGGGGUUGUCAUUAAUCAAGUGAUUAUUAAUACUGUUGACUCAUGGUGGGGCCGACACGAACUGGGCCCUUAUCCGUGGGCGCGGCUAUCGAUAGAUUUAAUAUACACUCUGCAGAGGUUAGUACACUGUACCCACACCACGGAACCCAUGGCCUCGCACUCCCAUUCGGGUGGACCAACGGCUUUCCGACAAAACCGAUCUACUGCCAUGACCCUCUCCCGGCCACUCCGACUCACUCCCCAUUGGGCUAGUCCUGGGUGGCCCCGUGUCUACCAAAGACACAACGACCACCGUCGUGGUCCGUCCCAAACAGGGACAAAAGCGCUUAUCAUCCAACCUACGGGCACACAAGGUUAUGUCCGCCUACCUGAUCAGGGUAAGCACGCCCAUAACCUUCCCUAGUUGGAGGCACCGGCGAGAGGCACGACAAUAGACCCAGUUAGGACCUUCCCAUAUCGGCAAGUGUGGUUGCACUAGUCAGUUUCGAUAUGGUGGCACCAUGACUCAGCCAACAGUUGUUCAAGUUCAAUUUAAUCUGGUUAAACUUGAAUGCAAUAUGCCGAGCCAUGAUAAAAUAACAUGAUGCAUAUACAAAGCAUGAGCAUGAUAUCAACAUAAGCACGUGAUGCAACAUAACUAUCCAUCAUAUCAACUAUGAAAUAAUCUCAAACUGAACAUGGCAUAAUGACGAGCAUAAAUAUUACAAGUGCAACACUACUCAUGGUAUAACAUGACCACUAGCAUCAACCAUAAAUACCAUGCAAGAACUCAUCAAUAACAUUACCAAGUAACAAUUAACCAACUAACAGCAAAGGAACAACGCACAUUAACAGUACUCGAUAACCGACGUUAGUCAUGCACCGAAGAACAUGACCAACCUAACUUGUACUACUAUCAAGCGUGGCAAUAUGAAAUUAAUACUAGAAACUAGCAGGGCAUGAUAACCAGGUGCAUAACAACAUAGCAAGUAAGUAAGCACUAACCCAGAAGCAUUAGCGAAACAACGAUAACCAUGUUUUAAACAAGCAAUCAUUUAAUAAAUAUUCAAGUUGAAAACCAUGGCUACUGCAUUACUAUCAUGCAGGUGGGUAUUGUGGCUUGCCUGGGGGUGAAGAAGGCACCGGGAAGGAGUGCGGUGAAGCCGCGAAAAGAUUUGCCAGAAACAGUUCUCUCUCGGAGGGGCUGUUUACGUGCAAGGGCAAAAAGGUCAUUUUCAGAGUGUCAAACCAUAGUGAAAAUGAAACCAACAGAACGGGCUCGACGAAACGAAGACGUGGGCUUUGGAAUCACCUCAUUUGGAGUUUUGGUUAAAAAGAUAUGAUGGGUUGAAGUUCAGGGACUUUUCUACAAAAAUAUCAUCACCAACAAGUCCCUGAGUGGAUAAGGCAGAAGCGCAAAGUUUGAAAUACGCUUUCUGAUUAAGAAAACGCGUUCUGGGCUGAAACAGAGAGGAAAUACGCUUUCAGAAACAGAAAACGUAUUUUGUGCUGAAACAGAACGAAACUACGCUUUCCAGCUGGGAAGACGUAUUCAGAAGAAUACGUCUCCACUUAUCCAGCGUGGCAAGGCGGGACCGGGCGGCUGUGAGACUUAUAGGCGGGGCCCACUUUAUCCUUUCUCUCUCCCCUCGGUCCUUCUUCCUCUUCCCGAUGCUGGCUGAACAGGGGCGAGGCAGAGGCGAGGCUCGGGUACUGCCGGCGCCGGCCCUGGCGACUCCGGCCAGCUCCGGCGGAGCUCGGACCACCGGAGGGCUCGCCGCGGGACGCCGCACCCGAGGGGACCAGCAGGGAUCGCGGGGAAGUGCUGUGGCACCCGCCACAGUAGAGCACAGAGGCGGGGCUCCGGUGAUGGUUCCGGCGGCUCUGGCCACCGUUCGGAGCGCCCGAACCACCGGCAUGAUCAGAGAAUCAGAGUGGUCUCGGUCAGAUAGGUUUCGGCCACCGAAGAGCACGGGAGAGGGCGGAGCUUCGGCCACGGUGGACGAUGGCUUCGGGCAAACUUGGGCACGCGGCCACGGCGGCUCCUGCGGCCAAAGGAGGGGUGGGGGAGGCUUGUGGUGGAGAAGGGAGGCCUCUGGUGGUGGAAGAGAGAAAAGAGCACUAUCCUGCCGGAAUCGAGGACGAUAGAGGCGGCAGCCAUGGCGGCCAAGGGCAGCGAAGAGGGGCUCUAGAGCUCGUUUGAGUAGCUAGGCGGGGCACUGAGAGGUGGGUGAGACGAGUGGUGAGCUCGAAGAGGCUCGGGGAUGGCUAUUCAUAGCCGGGCAAGGGAGGCAGUGGCCGAGUGCCACCGCUCGAGCUAGGCCAAAGCUCUGGCGAGGCUCAGCGAGGACGGGAGGGCGCGGGAAGGCAACGAGGAAGGCAACGGACGAGCUACAGAGGUGCACAGGGUGAGGGGGGCCGAGGGCGCACAGGAGAAGUGGUCGAACGCCAUUAAAGCCUCGGUCGGCCACAGUGCGUCCGUGGGCGCGCGGCGACGAGAUUUGACGGAGGGGCUGACGGAGGGGAAGAAGACUCCAGGAGGACGGCGACGACGUGGUAAAACAGUGAGACAUGCUCAAGAGCACGAAGACGCCGAGAGGGAGAGGGGCCCGAGCAAGAAGCCAUUCUGGAUGCGCCCACUGCAUGCCAAGUCGGUGGUCACCGCGCGCACUGGUGCACACAGUGCCACAAGCGAUGCCAAACGAUGUCUGGGGUGGAGUCCUUCCUGGGGAGGUUGCAACUGCAGUGGUAGUUUGGUUAAAAGUGACAUGGUUAAAUGGUAGUUAACACCUGAAGUUUACUGCAGUAAACUUGAUCGUGUACUGCUGAUCAACAGGGAGGUGAUUGGUGACAAUGGAGUUGUCUGCGAGGUUGAGGUAAAGAAGGACUUACAUCCUGGUAACUAUGGAGGGGUUUGGAUCAAGAUUUAACAGAGUUGCUUUGCAACUGCCAAAUAUGGUCCAGAAUCAAGAUUUGGAUGAUGCACUCACAUACUUGAUCUCUGUGAGAUGAAGUUUGGCAUAGAGGGGUUAUAUGAUGGUAUGAAGCUGCUAUAAAGAUUUCAUGCCAUUUGGAAAUACCAAAGUGGCACUUGCUUCACAAAGCUUCAUUCUGGACAGAAACUUGCGAAAAUUCUGGAGGAAUAAUGGCUCGAUAAACCAUGCCCAAAAUGGGCGGAGGUAAGUUAUAUGGAUAAUAGAAGGCCUAGAAAAAUUGGCAGCCAUAAUGGAGCAAGAUAAAAUAUACUUGCUUCACAAACUAAAGUUUUGGACAGAAUCAAAGAAUUGAAGAUGAGCUCACAUGGAGGCAUGACAUGAGCUCUAGUUUGGUGGAGGGCCAUGAUAUGAUGAUAUGAGGGACCAUGCAAAAUGGCAACUCAUUUGGAUAUGCCUAGCUUGCACCUCCUUCACAAAGCUUCUUUCUAGAUAGAAACUUUGGAAAAUCAUAAUUAAAUAAUUACUAGGCAAAUGAGGUUGCAUUUUGGCAUGUGGCAAUGAUAUGGACAGGAAACGGUGUCCAAGGAGUUUGAGGUCAAUUGGGAAAAGGAAAAUAGCACUUGCUUCACAAUGUGCCAUUUAGGGCAGAAUAGGAAAUGAAUUAUUUGAGCAUGAUGAUAAACAUGACAAAUGAAAUAUUUUGCCAUAUUUAAGAAAGAUAUGACCCAAAAAAAUUAUGAGAAUUAUUUGGGAGUUUUAGGAGUGAUGGAAAUAAAGGUUACUUCAUAACCUAGGGCAAUUUGAGUUAUUCCUUUAAUAGAAAAGGAAUAUUCCCAAUAAAAAGAAUGUUGGGAUUUGGGCUAGGAUGAAAAUGACAGGGUUCAGGGAAGGAUUUGGGUAUGACAAGCCACUCUGGAAGCAAAGAAGAGUUCAUCUUCUUCACUUUCCAGGCCACAAAGCCACGGAAAAAGAAAACUCAAGCAAAAACCUCAGAAAAACAAAAGAAAAAGAAAGGGCCAAAAAAUCAGGCUGUCACAAACCUUACCCCCUUAAAGAAAUCUCGUCCUCGAGAUUUGGUUGCUCAGGGAACAAGUAUGAAGAUACUGACUUAAGGAAAUCGUUUCCAACUCGGGUAUCCCUUUUGUUAUUUUUGUUCCCACUAAAUUUUUAUCUGACUGGCCCUGGGGUGGUUUGCUUUAAUAUAUCCAUAUUCUGACUGGUCUUACCUUGCUUGUUCAUGCUUAUACAGGCUCCAAUUUCUUUUUAGAUCUGCUGACUUAGCUGACUGUGAUUGAUCCUCACGACUGAAAUAUAUGUCGGUCUCACAAAUACAAGAGUGAUUUCCGCUGGGUGUGUCAUCCAGCACUCACAAUCUUUCAUGAAGUGGUGAUCAGAUUUUUUUCUAGUGGACACCCAAGCUCUAACUCCUUGUAUUGGGUUUCUCCACUAAAUGCAGGUCCUUCGGGUUCCAAACAGUGAGUUGGGUCAUAACCGCUUUCCCGACAGCUUCUAGCUUAUCGCGGAGGUUUCUGAAUCAUCUUAACUGGUUCCACUGUCUUGAGUAUCGGAUCCGUACCAAAUAUUUGAUUGUCGCCUGUCGUGGCUAGCAUAAGAGUUUGACCCGUAGGGUAAUAUCUGCAGACUUGACUGACGGUGGUUCUGCACCACGCGGGUCUUGCAACAAUUUUCAUACCCACAUCACUGGUCUUGCUCCUUCAUUACCGUUUUCUUGGUCUGGAUCCUUCGCUGAAAGAGCUGGGUCAUAUUGCUUCUUUGUAUCACCCUAGGUACGGUCGGUACAAUUUUUCGGCAAUCGUAGCCUAUCCUCAUUUUUCUGACAAGGUACCCCAUUUAAAUGGCAGUUUCAACUCCCUUCAAGUUCUGACUGAUUCUUGCUUCUGACCAAAAUGUUGCGGAUCUGAUUCUUGGGAUUCACUGCCAUAUGCUAUCAAUUCAUAGCGUACUACCUUGUACCAAUGUCUUACUGAGGAAGAUUGGCUGGCUUGUGCUCGAAACUUUCAUCGGACAGUUUGCUGGAGAAGACUGGGUAUCGUGCUUCAGAAGCUUACCCCCUUAAAGACUUUGCUGGGGAAAGACUCAGUAACUUAUGCCAGAAGCUUUUGCGGUUGCUUACUGAAGAAGGCAGAGUACCUUGUACGGGAAAUCAUCCAUGUAUCGUACUGAAGAAGAUAUAUGAAUCUUGCCUUGGAAGCUUCUUGGGUAUCUUGCGAGGGAAGAUUGGGUUACUUACACCAGAAACUUCUUAUUGUGAUAUGCGGACCGAUUUCCACAUAUAUAACCAUCUUAAAUUUUUUGUUAUUGAUUUCUUGUAUGAAACGGGGUUUUGUAGGAGUAUCCUCCUUUCUGAGGACAUGCCAUAUUUUUGCUUGCUUCCAGGUAACUCGGGUUCCAAAAUCAUCCUCAACGGGAAAUUAAACUUGUAUCUGAGCCAUACCUUUGAUAAUAUUUUGUCAAUGCAUCCAAUUUAUCUUCUUGCUGAUUUGAUCAUUUCUGCUAUGAGGAGUGCACGUUGAGGGAGACUUGACACUCAGUAACAUGAUCAGAUAUCCCCCAAUCUGAAUGCAGUCGACUGAGAAUUCCAUACUGUUGUGAGGAGUGCACGUUAUUGCAAACUUUAUACUGACAUUCCAUCCAGGAUUUCUUAAGUAUUCAGAUGAGCUAUUUCCAAUUUCACUGCAGUCUGCUGACAAUUCCAUUCUAUUUAGCUGAGUUCCCAAAUAUAUGUAUUUCUUGCUGACUCUUCGGGUCUGGUGUCGGCUGACGAGCAACUUUAAUAGGGGGGAAAUUUGUAACACCGAAGGCCCAAAGAAAUAAACAAAAGAAACAACUAAAACAAAAGCACACAAGCAUACUACUAAUUUAAUUAAUCAAGCAAUCAUCACAUAUUACUGCUACUCACACCAUAAUAUGCAUGCACACCUAAGCACACAAAUCGCGCAGAAACUCUGGUAUUACGGUCUAAUAUGCUGUGGCGGUGUGCACGAAAAUUAUAUCCAUGUGUGGAAGGAGUUGGCGUAACCGAAGCUACACCAAGCACUGGCUGAACAGUGGCUGGAUCUGGAUGGAUACACAGGUGAGAACGGACUUGAUGAUCAAGUAGCGAGACACAAAAGUCACGACCACCUCAUCAUCAAGCGUACGAAGGGAGUCGUACCCGUCCGAAGAAUGAAAUGACAUGGCAAGAUAAUAGUGGAAGACUGGGUUUAUUGGCAUUGCCCUUUUCUGAUAACAAAGAUCAGCAAGGGUUGCCAAGGGGAAGAGAUGGAUGAUGAUGUGGUCGCAUCACACCGAGGAGCAGGCAUGCUAAGAAAGGAUGGUGCAGACGGUGGACCGAAAAUGAUGCCACCUACACUCACAAGAUUAACCGUUAGUGACAAAAUAACAAUCUAUAUGCAUGCUAUGCGACAAGCAAAUGCAACAAUCAAGUGCAACAAACCAACUGGGGUCUAUACUACCGCUUUCUAACGUUCGCGCGGGCUAGGGCAUCCUACAGCCAGAUCUGCUCUGAUACCAAGCCUGUAGCACCCCGGCUCAGAGAAAACCGGAACGCCCCGUAUUCCAGCCCAGAGAUCGAGGAGAAGUCUUCUGGAAUACGGAACUGCUUAGCAUAGAACAAACCAGCUUACUAUUAUUACACGAAUAUGAUUACAAGGUCUUCGAUAUUACAAUGAAUAACAUCGGCAUGGCGACACUACGCCAUCCUCAGUUGCUCUAUGCAAGCAGCAGAACAACUCGAAGCAGCGGAAAACUACUAGCAGCGGAACAACAACGACGAUGGUGAACUCCACUCUGUAGGGACUCUAGCUGGAACGCUUAUCCUAGCUCGCAAACAAAGAAUCCACGGCAAACAAGCAUGCAAUCCAGGCACGACCUGCAAGCUGGCAUGACACGCCAGGUCAGUACAUUGAAUGUACUUGCAAGCUCACAAUAACCAGAAGCAUUCAAGACAAACAUCAGAAUGGCAAUUACAGGUUAAGCAGGAAUUAUCAUGAGAUCAUCAGAAUAACAUGGCAUGAACAAUAUGGACAUGAUACAGGUAGAACAACAUGAGCAUGGCAUGAACAUAUAGAUCUGACGAUACUAGCAUGCAACAUGAUGACACUAUAUGCACUAUUUAUUCUGCUCGGGUUACUUCGUAACCAUCACAUGCAUCACUUACCAUCCUCGGACAUCACACGAUCAUCUCAGGAUCAAAUCAAGCUUGGUAUAAACAAUACCGUAGUAAUCAUAAAAUGACCACAAGGAGCUUGAUCUUUACCCACGAUUCUCGCACAAUAUCACGAAUAUCCAACAACUCGGUAUCCUCGAUACCACGGUGAUCAUUCCGGCGAUCACAACCAUGACCAACACUUGGUCCCAAACGGUGAUCAUUCCGGCGAUCACAACCAACUUAUCUCAUCAUCGAAUCGGGGUUGUCAUUAAUCAAGUUAUUAUUAAUACUGUUGACUCACGGUGGGACCGACAUGAACUGGGCCCUUAUCCGCGGGCGCGGCUAUCGAUAGAUUUAAUAUACACUCUCCAGAGGUUAGUACACUAUACCCACACCACGGAACCUAUGGCCUCGCACUCCCAUUCGGGUGGACCAACGGCGUUCCGACAAAACCGAUCUACUGCCAUGACCCUCUCCCGGCCACUCCAACUCACUCCCCAUUGGGCUAGUCCUGGGUGGCCCUGUGUCUACCAAAGACACAACGACCACCGUCGUGGUCCGUCCCAAACAUGGACAAAAGUGCUUAUCAUUCAACCUACGGGCACACAAGGUUAUGUUCGCCUACCUAAUCAGGGUAACCACGCCCAUAACCUUCCCUAGUUGGAGGCACCGGCGAGAGGCACGACCAUAGACCUAGUUAGGACCUUUCCAUAUCGGCAAGUGUGGUUGCACUGGUCAGUUUCGAUAUGGUGGCACCAUGACUCAGCCAACAGUUGUUCAAGUUCAAUUUAAUCCGGUUAAACUUGAAUGCAAUAUGCUGAGCCAUGAUAAAAUAACAUGAUGCAUAUACAAAGCAUGAGCAUGAUAUCAACAUAACCACGGGAUGCAACAUAACUAUCCAUCAUAUCAACUAUGAAAUAAUCUCAAACUGAACAUGGCAUAAUGACGAGCAUAAAUAUUACAAGUGCAACACUACUCAUGGUAUAACAUGACCACUAGCAUCAACCAUAAAUACCAUGCAAGAACUCAUCAGUAACAUUACCAAGUAACACUUAACCAACUAACAGCAAAGGAACAACGCAUAUUAACAGUACUCGAUAACCGACGUUAGUCAUGCACCGAAGAACAUGACCAACCCAACAUGUACUACUAUCAAGCAUGGCAAUAUGAAAGUAAUACUAGAAACUAGCAGGGCAUGAUAACCAGGUGCAUAACAACAUAGCAAGUAAGUAAGCACUAACCAAGAAGCAUUACCGAAACAACGAUAACCAUGUUUUAAACAAGCAAUAAUUUAAUAAAUAUUCAAGUUUAAAACCAUGGCUACUGCAUGACUAUCAUGCAAGUGGGUAUUGUGGCUUGCCUGGGGGUGAAGAAGGCACCGGGAAGGAGUGCGGUGAAGCCGCGAAAAGAUUUGCCGGAAACAGUUCUCUCUCGGAGGGGCUGUUUAUGUGCAAGGGCAAAAAAGGUCAUUUUCACAGUGUCAAACCAUAGUGAAAAUGAAACCAACAGAACGGGCUCGACGAAACGAAGACGUGGGCUUUGGAAUCACCUCAUUUGGAGUUGUGGUUAAAAAGAUAUGAAGGGUUGAAGUUUAGGGACUUUUCUGCAAAAAUAUCA